rnacentral:rRNA from 1 species
UACGAAGGGGGCUAGCGUUGUUCGGAAUUACUGGGCGUAAAGGGCGCGUAGGCGGUAUAAUAAGUCAGGUGUGAAAGCCCUGGGCUCAACCCAGGAACUGCGCUUGAUACUAUUAUUCUUGAAUUCGGGAGAGGUGAGUGGAAUUCCCAGUGUAGAGGUGAAGUUCGUAGAUAUUGGGAGGAACACCGGUGGCGAAGGCGGCUCACUGGACCGACAUUGACGCUGAGGCGCGAAAGCGUGGGUAGCAAACAGGAUUAGAUACCCUGGUAGUCCACGCCGUAAACGAUGCAUGCUAGACGCUUGGGGGCUUAGCCCCUGGGUGUCGCAGCUAACGCACUAAGCAUGCCGCCUGGGGAGUACGGCCGCAAGGUUGAA